rnacentral:rRNA from 1 species
GGACCAAGGAGUCUAGCAUGUGCGCGAGUCAUUGGGAUUUUUACUAAACCUAAAGGCGCAAUGAAAGUGAAGGUCCGCCUUGCGCGGACCGAGGGAGGAUGGACCGUUCCGAGGGACGGCCUCGCACUCCCGGGGCGUCUCGCUCUCAUCGCGAGAAGAGGCGCACCCAGAGCGUACACGCUGGGACCCGAAAGAUGGUGAACUAUGCCUGGUCAGGACGAAGUCAGGGGAAACCCUGAUGGAGGUCCGUAGCGAUUCUGACGUGCAAAUCGAUCGUCGGAACUGGGUAUAGGGGCGAAAGACUAAUCGAACCAUCUAGUAGCUGGUUCCCUCCGAAGUUUCCCUCAGGAUAGCUGGCGCUCGCUUCUCGCGAGUCUCAUUCGGUAAAGCGAAUGAUUAGAGGCAUUGGGGUCGAAACGGCCUCAACCUAUUCUCAAACUUUAAAUGGGUGAGAUCUCCGGCUUGCUUGAACUGUGAAGCCGCGAGAUAUCGGAUCAGAGUGCCAAGUGGGCCACUUUUGGUAAGCAGAACUGGCGCUGUGGGAUGAACCAAACGCCGAGUUAAAGCGCCUAAAUCGACGCUUAUGGGAUACCAUGAAAGGCGUUGGUAACUUAAGACAGCAGGACGGUGGCCAUGGAAGUCGG